GUGUAUAUAUAUAUACACACAUAUGUGUGUGUAUAUAUAUACACACACAUAUGUGUGUAUAUAUAUAUAUGUG
rnacentral:pre_miRNA from 15 species